rnacentral:rRNA from 1 species
AGUCAGUUUAUCAUGCUGGUGUGAGAAUGGCUCACCAAGGCUACGAUGGGUAGGGGUUCUUAGUGGAAGGUCCCCCACACUGGCACUGAGAUACGGGCCAGACUCCUACGGGAGGCAGCAGUAGGGAAUAUUGGUCAAUGGGCGCAAGCCUGAACCAGCCAUGCCGCGUGCAGGAUGAAGGCUCUCUGAGUUGUAAACUGCUUUUGUACAGGAGCAAAAAAAUCCCUGCGGGGGUUCUUGAGAGUACUGUAAGAAUAAGCACCGGCUAAUUCCGUGCCAGCAGCCGCGGUAAUACGGGAGGUGCAAGCGUUAUCCGGUUUUAUUGGGUUUAAAGGGUGCGUAGGCGGCUUAUUAAGUCAGUUGUGAAAUCCUAGUGCUUAACGCUAGAACUGCAAUUGAUACUAUU